rnacentral:rRNA from 1 species
UCGGGAAUUUUGGGCAAUGGGCGAAAGCCUGACCCAGCAACGCCGCGUGAGGGAUGAAGGCCUUCGGGUCGUAAACCUCUGUCGGGAGGGACGAAAGGCGCGCGGGUGAACAAUCCGCGUACUUGACGGUACCUCCUAAGGAAGCGCCGGCUAACCCCGUGCCAGCAGCCGGGGUAAUACGGAGGGCGCAAGCGUUGUUCGGAAGUACUGGGCGUAAAGCGCGUGUAGGCGGCCAGGUAAGUCGGAUGUGAAAGCCCGGGGCCCAACCCCGGAACUGCAACCGAUACUGCCCGGCUGGAGUCCCGGAGAGGAUGGCGGAAUUUCCGGUGUAGAGGUGAAAUUCGUAGAUAUCGGAAGGAACACCAGUGGCGAAGGCGGCCAUCUGGACGGUGACUGACGCUGAGACGCGAAAGCGUGGGGAGCAAA